ACGGGAGGCAGCAGUGGGGAAUAUUGGGCAAUGGGCGAAAGCCUGACCCAGCGACGCCGCGUGAGGGAAGAAGGUCUUCGGAUUGUAAACCUUAGUCAACAGGGAAGAAGAAAGUGACGGUACCUGUGGAGGAAGCCACGGCUAACUACGUGCCAGCAGCCGCGGUAAUACGUAGGUGGCGAGCGUUAUCCGGAUUUACUGGGUGUAAAGGGUGUGUAGGCGGGACGGCAAGUCAGAUGUGAAAAUUAUGGGCUCAACUCAUAACCUGCAUUUGAAACUGCAGUUCUUGAGUAUCGGAGAGGUAAGCGGAAUUCCCGGUGUAGCGGUGAAAUGCGUAGAUAUCGGGAGGAACAUCUGUGGCGAAGGCGGCUUACUGGACGACAACUGACGCUGAGACACGAAAGUGUGGGGAGCAAACAGGAUUAGAUACCCUGGUA
rnacentral:rRNA from 1 species